AUUAGUGGCGACGGGUGAGUAACACGUGGGCAAUCUGCCCUUCACUCUGGGACAAGCCCUGGAAACGGGGUCUAAUACCGGAUAACACUCUGUCCCGCAUGGGACGGGGUUAAAAGCUCCGGCGGUGAAGGAUGAGCCCGCGGCCUAUCAGCUUGUUGGUGGGGUAAUGGCCUACCAAGGCGACGACGGGUAGCCGGCCUGAGAGGGCGACCGGCCACACUGGGACUGAGACACGGCCCAGACUCCUACGGGAGGCAGCAGUGGGGAAUAUUGCACAAUGGGCGAAAGCCUGAUGCAGCGACGCCGCGUGAGGGAUGACGGCCUUCGGGUUGUAAACCUCUUUCAGCAGGGAAGAAGCGAAAGUGACGGUACCUGCAGAAGAAGCGCCGGCUAACUACGUGCCAGCAGCCGCGGUAAUACGUAGGGCGCAAGCGUUGUCCGGAAUUAUUGGGCGUAAAGAGCUCGUAGGCGGCUUGUCACGUCGGAUGUGAAAGCCCGGGGCUUAACCCCGGGUCUGCAUUCGAUACGGGCUAGCUAGAGUGUGGUAGGGGAGAUCGGAAUUCCUGGUGUAGCGGUGAAAUGCGCAGAUAUCAGGAGGAACACCGGUGGCGAAGGCGGAUCUCUGGGCCAUUACUGACGCUGAGGAGCGAAAGCGUGGGGAGCGAACAGGAUUAGAUACCCUGGUAGUCCACGCCGUAAACGUUGGGAACUAGGUGUUGGCGACAUUCCACGUCGUCGGUGCCGCAGCUACGCAUUAAGUUCCCCGCCUGGGGAGUACGGCCGCAAGGCUAAAACUCAAAGGGAAUUUGACGG
rnacentral:rRNA from 1 species